rnacentral:snRNA from 1 species
AUACUCUGGUUUCUCUUCAGAUCGUAUGACUCUUUUGGCUUUUACUAAAUAUUUCCAAGGAUAUAAACAAUUCUGAGUCUUAACCCAAUUUUUUUGAGGCCUUGCGUUUGCAGGGCU